GUUUACUUUUGUUGCUGAACAUAUACUAAAAUUGGAACAAUACAGUGAAGAUUAGCAUGACCCCUGCGCAAGGAUGACACGCAAAUUUGUGAAGCGUUUAGCAAAAUUUUU
rnacentral:snRNA from 1 species